rnacentral:sRNA from 1 species
CUGAAAUUCUUCGUGAGGUGAGCACCGGAGCCA